rnacentral:rRNA from 1 species
GUCGAACGCUUCUUUUUCCACCGGGAGCUUGCUCCACCGGAAAAAGAGGAGUGGCGAACGGGUGAGUAACACGUGGGUAACCUGCCCAUCAGAAGGGGAUAACACUUGGAAACAGGUGCUAAUACCGUAUAACAAUCGAAACCGCAUGGUUUUGAUUUGAAAGGCGCUUUCGGGUGUCGCUGAUGGAUGGACCCGCGGUGCAUUAGCUAGUUGGUGAGGUAACGGCUCACCAAGGCCACGAUGCAUAGCCGACCUGAGAGGGUGAUCGGCCACAUUGGGACUGAGACACGGCCCAAACUCCUACGGGAGGCAGCAGUAGGGAAUCUUCGGCAAUGGACGAAAGUCUGACCGAGCAACGCCGCGUGAGUGAAGAAGGUUUUCGGAUCGUAAAACUCUGUUGUUAGAGAAGAACAAGGAUGAGAGUAACUGUUCAUCCCUUGACGGUAUCUAACCAGAAAGCCACGGCUAACUACGUGCCAGCAGCCGCGGUAAUACGUAGGUGG